CUUUCGCCCGAGAGCUUAGCCCUGGGUAGGAAAUGCCCUUCCAGCAGGUCAGAGAGAGGUACAUGAUUGCCUGGCUCCGUGUCUUGUCUCCUGCUUAGGAUUUCAGAUGAACAACCCUUGCACAGGUUCUCUGCCCGGGGUCAUUUAUCAUACAGAUGGCAGAGGAAGGGGGCGGGUAGGUGCUCUCAGGCAAGGUUGGAAAGUUACCUCUAAGGCAGAGACAAAGGAAGAGGCUUGGCCUUCUAAAGGCCCCCUGCACACAAGCUGGAACAGGAGAGAGACAGGAAGACCUGCAGAGGGAGAAAAGUGGAAAGGAACUGGACAAACCACCAUCUGAAGCAAGUACCUGCUUUGUGAGCCUGGACAAGUCCCUACAGAGGAACAGAGAAGAACACUGGUUAUGGGACUUGCCCAGUUACAGGGGCCGUCCACAGAGGAGUGUGUCUUAGAGCUCAAACCUCCGCCUGGCUGGCAUCUCACUUGUUCCUGGCUGACCCGGUGAAAAGGACCAAUUAGAAUCUUGCAUCAGGAAUUCCUGAAAGUCUAGAACACAGAUCUGUGUUGAAAUGCUACAUGUGGAAGAGGUCCCAGCUUGUUUGGAGUGACUCUUGCCCAGAUGAUUUCAUCAAGGGACUUCUGCGUGAGCUCUUUCAGGAAAUGAUUUCGUCUGAGAAGCACAGUGUAAGAGGCAUGAAGAAGUCAACUCUGCCACCUCCAAGUUAGAAAAAGAGGAAACUUGGCCAAAUCACACCCAGCAUCUGUGACCAAUGAGCCUUGAGUCAGGCCUGAAAGAGAAUUUAAAAGAAAAAAAAUCAAAAACAACAGUUGUCUCAAAUACCUUGCUCCUUGGGUACCUUGGUUGUAUGAGACUCUCUCUGCAUGGCACAAAUGGGCACCAGAGGGGCUAUUUCAGCCCUGCUAUGCCAGCCCUCAAUGUGGCACUACAGCUCUAUUUGUUUUGAGUUUAUACCAUGUGUACUCGGUGCAUGCACACAUUUUAUUGUCUCUGAAAUCAGGGUGUCUGUUAGUGGCAGUGACAUCUUUGAUUUACUCAUGUUGCAGGGGACACGUGCUAGCCAUGCAUCCUCAGAUCUCACUAGAGUUUUAUUACAAAGUUGUUAGCAAUAUUUUGUUUAAAAUUUUGCACAUGCUUUGUUGUCUUCUCAGCUGAAUACAAACACUUGACCUUUUGACAUCCUGGUAGAAUGUGCCUCUAAUUAUAAUGCACUACUAAAUAUAAAUACAACUUCUCUUUUUAACCCCUUUAUUUCCCCCAGAGAUAACCACCAGGGCUUAAGGGCCUGAUGUGUAUACUUUGAUUUCUGAACUCUCUAUAGAAGAUAUUUGUGUUUUUACAACAAUGGCAUCGUGCCAUGGAAAGAUCUGUAACAUGAUGUCCAUCACAUUGAAACUUAACAUCCUCUUUUGAGUCCAAAACAUGGCUCUCAUGUUUUGUGAUGACUGUAUGUGUUCUGUUGUGUGGGUGUAGCAUUAUUUAUAUACCUAAUCACCAAAUUUAUAUACCUAAUCAUCAAAUUACUCAUUGUAAAGGAUGGGUUCUGGUAAUUUUUGAUAAGCACUAAUUAUUUCUCACAUUUAUGCAUAUGUGUAUGCAUAUAUAUAAAAC
rnacentral:lncRNA from 1 species